rnacentral:rRNA from 1 species
UACGAAGGUGGCUAGCGUUGUUCGGAAUUACUGGGCGUAAAGCGCACGUAGGCGGAUUUGUUAGUCAGGGGUGAAAUCCCGGGGCUCAACCUCGGAACUGCCUUUGAUAGUGCAAGUCUUGAGUCCGGAAGAGGUGAGUGGAAUUCCUAGUGUAGAGGUGAAAUUCGUAGAUAUUAGGAGGAACACCAGUGGCGAAGGCGGCUCACUGGUCCGGUACUGACGCUGAGGUACGAAAGCGUGGGGAGCAAACAGG